UGGUACUUAGUUUAGACAAAACAAAUGAUUUCGACUCAUUAGACUAUGAACAUAUCAUAAUUACCAA
rnacentral:tRNA from 1 species